AUAAUGAUUAUGACAAUGUUCUAUUCUAUAUGUCUUGACCAAAUUACGUGCCAGCAGUCGCGGCAAUACGUAAAAGACUAGUGUUAUUCAUCUUUAGUAGGUUUAAAGGGUACCUAGACGGUAUAAUUAGUCUUAAACAGGAUACGGUUAUACUAGAGUUAUAUAUGAGGAGGGGAGUAUUUAUGGAGUAGAGUUGAAAUUCUUUGAUACCAUAACGACUGGUAACGGCGAAAGCAACCUUUUAUCUAAUAACUGACGUUGAGGGACGAAGGCUCGGGUCACGAACAGGAUUAGAUACCCUAGUAGUCCAAGCAGAGAAUGAUGAAUGCCAUAGGUUAGAUAUUUAUUUAGUCUAUAAAUGAAAGUGUAAGCAUUUCACCUCAAGAGUAAUGUGGCAACGCAGGAACUGAAAUCAUUAGGCCGUUUACUGAAACCAGUAGUGAAGUAUGUUAUUUAAUUCGUAGGUACGCGAAAAACCUUACCACAACUUGAAUAUUAUCGAAAUAAGAUAUUACAAGCGUUGCACGGCUGUCUAUCAGUUAAUGUCGUGAGAUAUUGGUUAACUCCAUUAAUUAACGGAAACCCUUGCUUUAGUUGCGAUUUAAAUAAUUAAAGCAGAGCACUAUUACAUAAAAUAGGAUAAUAGGGAUCAAGACAAGUCAUCAUGGCCUAAAUGUUGUGGCUA
rnacentral:rRNA from 1 species